rnacentral:rRNA from 1 species
AGAGUUUGAUCCUGGCUCAGGAUGAACGCUAGCUACAGGCUUAACACAUGCAAGUCGAGGGGAAACGAUAUUGGAAGCUUGCUUCCGAUAGGCGUCGACCGGCGCACGGGUGAGUAACGCGUAUCCAACCUGCCCAUCACUUGGGAAUAACCUUGCGAAAGUAAGACUAAUGCCCAAUGACAUUUAUAGAAGGCAUCUGAAAUGAAUUAAAGAUUUAUCGGUGAUGGAUGGGGAUGCGUCUGAUUAGCUUGUUGGCGGGGUAACGGCCCACCAAGGCGACGAUCAGUAGGGGUUCUGAGAGGAAGGUCCCCCACAUUGGAACUGAGACACGGUCCAAACUCCUACGGGAGGCAGCAGUGAGGAAUAUUGGUCAAUGGGCGAGAGCCUGAACCAGCCAAGUAGCGUGCAGGAUGACGGCCCUAUGGGUUGUAAACUGCUUUUAUAGGGGAAUAAAGUGAGCCACGUGUGGUUUUUUGCAUGUACCCUAUGAAUAAGGACCGGCUAAUUCCGUGCCAGCAGCCGCGGUAAUACGGAAGGUCCGGGCGUUAUCCGGAUUUAUUGGGUUUAAAGGGAGCGUAGGCCGGAGAUUAAGCGUGUUGUGAAAUGUAGAUGCUCAACAUCUGCACUGCAGCGCGAACUGGUUUCCUUGAGUACGCAUAAAGUGGGCGGAAUUCGUGGUGUAGCGGUGAAAUGCUUAGAUAUCACGGAGAACUCCGAUUGCGAAGGCAGCUCACUGGGGCGCAACUGACGCUGAAGCUCGAAAGCGCGGGUACCGAACAGGAUUAGAUACCCUGGUAGUCCGCGCGGUAAACGAUGGAUGCCCGCUGUUGGGCCAACUGGUUCAGCGGCCAAGCGAAAGCAUUAAGCAUCCCACCUGGGGAGUACGCCGGCAACGGUGAAACUCAAAGGAAUUGACGGGGGCCCGCACAAGCGGAGGAACAUGUGGUUUAAUUCGAUGAUACGCGAGGAACCUUACCCGGGCUUGAAUUGCAGAGGAAGGAUUUGGAGACAAUGACGCCCUUCGGGGCCUCUGUGAAGGUGCUGCAUGGUUGUCGUCAGCUCGUGCCGUGAGGUGUCGGCUUAAGUGCCAUAACGAGCGCAACCCCUCUCCAUAGUUGCCAUCAGGUGAAGCUGGGCACUCUGUGGACACUGCCACCGUAAGGUGCGAGGAAGGUGGGGAUGACGUCAAAUCAGCACGGCCCUUACGUCCGGGGCUACACACGUGUUACAAUGGCAGGUACAGAGAGCC